rnacentral:tRNA from 2 species
GCUGGAAUAGCUCAGUUGGCUAGAGCGUGUGGCUUGUUAACCACAAGCUCGGAGGUUCGAGCCCUCCUUCUAGCG